CUUUUUUUGCACAUAUAGAAAAUUCACCCUGCCCGGUGGUAUUUCUAAACGGCCGCAGUACUUUGACUGUGCUAAGGUAGCAAAAUAAUUUGGCCUUUAAUUGAGGUCGGGAAUGAAGGGGAAGAUGGAAGAGAGCUGUCUUAUAUAAUUUUUUUAUAAUUUGCUUAGAAGGUGAAAAUUCCUUUGUUAAAAUAAAAGACGAGAAGACCCUUAGAAUUUUAAUAAAAAUAUUUUUUUCUAGUUUUUUUUGUUGGGGCGACAAAGUGACAAAUUAAUAACUUACUUUUUUAUUAAAGACAAAACAAAAUUUUUAAUAAAGAAAAAAUUACCUAAGGGAUAACAGCAUUAUAAAAAUUUUGAUUGUGACCUCGAUGUUGGACUAGGGAGUUUUAUGGUUAGCCAUUAUAAAAUCGCGUUCUGUUCGAACAAAUAACCCUACAUG
rnacentral:rRNA from 1 species